AGAGUUUGAUCAUGGCUCAGGACGAACGCUGGCGGCGCGCCUAACACAUGCAAGUCGAACGAGCGAGAGAGAGCUUGCUUUCUCGAGCGAGUGGCGAACGGGUGAGUAACGCGUGAGGAACCUGCCUCAAAGAGGGGGACAACAGUUGGAAACGACUGCUAAUACCGCAUAAGCCCACGGCUCGGCAUCGAGCAGAGGGAAAAGGAGCAAUCCGCUUUGAGAUGGCCUCGCGUCCGAUUAGCUAGUUGGUGAGGUAACGGCCCACCAAGGCGACGAUCGGUAGCCGGACUGAGAGGUUGAACGGCCACAUUGGGACUGAGACACGGCCCAGACUCCUACGGGAGGCAGCAGUGGGGAAUAUUGCACAAUGGGGGAAACCCUGAUGCAGCGACGCCGCGUGGAGGAAGAAGGUCUUCGGAUUGUAAACUCCUGUUGUUGAGGAAGAUAAUGACGGUACUCAACAAGGAAGUGACGGCUAACUACGUGCCAGCAGCCGCGGUAAAACGUAGGUCACAAGCGUUGUCCGGAAUUACUGGGUGUAAAGGGAGCGCAGGCGGGAAGACAAGUUGGAAGUGAAAUCCAUGGGCUUAACCCAUGAACUGCUUUCAAAACUGUUUUUCUUGAGUAGUGCAGAGGUAGGCGGAAUUCCCGGUGUAGCGGUGGAAUGCGUAGAUAUCGGGAGGAACACCAGUGGCGAAGGCGGCCUACUGGGCACCAACUGACGCUGAGGCUCGAAAGUGUGGGUAGCAAACAGGAUUAGAUACCCUGGUAGUCCACACUGUAAACGAUGAUUACUAGGUGUUGGAGGAUUGACCCCUUCAGUGCCGCAGUUAACACAAUAAGUAAUCCACCUGGGGAGUACGACCGCAAGGUUGAAACUCAAAGGAAUUGACGGGGGCCCGCACAAGCAGUGGAGUAUGUGGUUUAAUUCGACGCAACGCGAAGAACCUUACCAAGUCUUGACAUCCUGCGACGCACAUAGAAAUAUGUGUUUCCUUCGGGACGCAGAGACAGGUGGUGCAUGGUUGUCGUCAGCUCGUGUCGUGAGAUGUUGGGUUAAGUCCCGCAACGAGCGCAACCCUUAUGGUCAGUUACUACGCAAGAGGACUCUGGCCAGACUGCCGUUGACAAAACGGAGGAAGGUGGGGAUGACGUCAAAUCAUCAUGCCCUUUAUGACUUGGGCUACACACGUACUACAAUGGCGUUAAACAAAGAGAAGCAAGACCGCGAGGUGGAGCAAAACUCAGAAACAACGUCCCAGUUCGGACUGCAGGCUGCAACUCGCCUGCACGAAGUCGGAAUUGCUAGUAAUCGCAGAUCAGCAUGCUGCGGUGAAUACGUUCCCGGGCCUUGUACACACCGCCCGUCAC
rnacentral:rRNA from 1 species